rnacentral:lncRNA from 1 species
ACCCAGGUGACAUGCUGAAGGCUAUGAUUUUGUGGGUCUUACAGCAAAAAAAUAAAGUUUCAUAGUAGAUUCAGAGGGUAAAACUAUAGUUUUCUUGCUUUCUUCAGAAAAAAACUCCAAAACUCCAUCUUCAGGGAUGAAAGCUAAGCCUAGGUGAGUGUUUCGCUGACAGAAAGUUCCAAAGUGAGUUUUUUAUGGCUCUUUUUUGUGUGUGUGUUUGGGUUUUUUUCCCCCUGUGGUUUUAAUGCACGUAACUUUGAGGUUAUUCCAUCCAUGAUUACAUUGAAGAUUCUGUUUUGCCACCUGGACAUCAAGGCUGUUUGCCUGGAGUUACAAUGCUUUGGAGUUGCUGAACAGUUUGUUUACUAGAUUGCUGCUUUGGUGUGACUUUUUUCUCAUCGUGGACUUAGUCCAAAUGCAAGGUGAGCCCGCAGCUGAUUUACAGACUGUUAAACCUCAGCUGUGAAACCUGAGCUUGCCCAGUGUGGAUUGUUCCUAAUGGGCACCAUGACUUAGUGAAAAAAUGAUGUGAAUUUGAAUUCAUCUUGGCUUGAAUUCACAUUUUUAUCCCAGACCUUUGCAGGACAGAAUUUCUUGUAGUUAAGGAGCUGGACUUCUGUAGAGCUAUUGAUUACCUUUCUUCCCUAUACAUUAAACUGUUGCUUUGGUGCUAAUUGGUCCAAGUUUGGGGUUUUUUUCCCCCCCACCUAGUACUUCACAAACAUUUUGGUCUUUAGAUGAGCAGCUCCUUUACAUGUUCUCUUGUUCCCAGUGAGAAGCCCCUAGAAGAAGAACCCAUGGAUGAGCAGAUACCAAAGAUCCUGCAACUCUCUCCUUUUCCAAGGGACGUUACCAGCAAAAAGAGAAACAGGAGAUCAAGUUUGGCCAAGAAGAGGGCUGAAGGCAGGUAUGACACACAAGCCCUGUGCCCAUGCAGGGACUGGUGUACCAAAUCAUUUUAGACCUUUUCUAGCACUCAGGGAGCAAGAGUGUCCCCAUGGGGGGUGGCCUGACUGUGCCUAGAGCAGGUAGAAAAACAAAAUGAGGCUAUGAAGGGUCAAAACUUGUCUCUGUAGGACCCUUUGGGUCCCCAAAGUGAUAAAGAUCUCAAAAACUAACCCUAGCCUGCUAAAAAUGCCCUCUACUCCUGUGAUACUAUGUCAUGGCAUGUUGGCUUUUUACUUGCCCAACCAUAAUCCUCCAGUGAGCUGAGUUCUGAACACUACCUUCUUUCACAAAUAUUUAAGUAAUGUUGUGCCAGUUCCUUGAUAUCAUGUUUCC